rnacentral:rRNA from 1 species
AGUGAACGCUGGCGGUAGGCCUAACACAUGCAAGUCGAACGGCAGCACAGUAAGAGCUUGCUCUUACGGGUGGCGAGUGGCGGACGGGUGAGGAAUACAUCGGAAUCUACUUUUUCGUGGGGGAUAACGUAGGGAAACUUACGCUAAUACCGCAUACGACCUACGGGUGAAGGCAGGGGAUCUUCGGACCUUGCGCGAUUGAAUGAGCCGAUGUCGGAUUAGCUAGUUGGCGGGGUAAAGGCCCACCAAGGCGACGAUCCGUAGCUGGUCUGAGAGGAUGAUCAGCCACACUGGAACUGAGACACGGUCCAGACUCCUACGGGAGGCAGCAGUGGGGAAUAUUGGACAAUGGGCGCAAGCCUGAUCCAGCCAUACCACGUGGGUGAAGAAGGCCUUCGGGUUGUAAAGCCCUUUUGUUGGGAAAGAAAAGCAGCAGGUUAAUACCCCGCUGUUCUGACGGUACCCAAAGAAUAAGCACCGGCUAACUUCGUG